UGUUCAAGUUCAAACAAUUUGUUACGUUUGAUCACAGGACUCUGUUCAUUGCGUGGCAACCGUUACCGUCAUUCGUUGUUUUCAUCAAUACAAAUACGGUGCAAAUGCAGACGCAUUCCAGUUCAUUAUUUUCAAAGUCGUACUAAUAACUAAACAACGAUCAACAAUCAAUGACGCUUUAGUGACCGAGCGAUGGCCCUUCUCAAAACAUCUCUUAUAUCGUCAAUCCUUGACCCAUAUUCUGAAGUUUUCAUUGGCACGAUUAUUCGAUUGGUCUUUAAAGCAUUCCUUCAAAGCGCAAAAUAUAAUACCGGUCUUAAGAUAAUUUUGACUUAUUCCUGAAUAAACAUAGAUUUUAUUUUCAAAA